UAGGGAAUUUUCCGCAAUGGGCGAAAGCCUGACGGAGCAACGCCGCGUGAGUGAUGAAGGUCUUCGGAUCGUAAAACUCUGUUAUUAGGGAAGAACAAAUGUGUAAGUAACUAUGCACGUCUUGACGGUACCUAAUCAGAAAGCCACGGCUAACUACGUGCCAGCAGCCGCGGUAAUACGUAGGUGGCAAGCGUUAUCCGGAAUUAUUGGGGGUAAAGCGCGCGUAGGCGGUUUUUUAUGUCUGAUGUGAAAGCCCACGGCUCAACCGGGGAGGGUCAUUGGAAACUGGUAAACUGGGGUGCAGAAGAGGAAAGUGGAAUUCCAUGUGUAGCGGUGAGAUGCGCUGAGAUAUGGAGGAACACCAGUGGCGAAGGCGACGUUCUGGUCUGUAACUGACGCUGAUGUGCGAAAGCGUGGGGAUCAAACAGG
rnacentral:rRNA from 1 species